GACGAACGCUGGCGGCGUGCCUAAUACAUGCAAGUAGGACGCAGUUGCGAACGGGGGAGUAACGCGUAGGUAACUACCUAUUAGAGGGGGAUAACUAUUGGAAACGAUAGCUAAUACCGCCUACUAGUAGAUGGACCUGCGUUGUAUUAGCUAGUAGGUAGGGUGAUGGCCUACCUAGGCAACGAUACAUAGCCGAGCUGAGAGGGUGAUCGGCCACACUUGUACUGGGACACGGCCCAGACUUCUACGGGAGGCAGCAGUAGGGAAUCUUCGGCAAUGGGGGGAAACCUGAACGAGCAACGCCGCGUGGUUGAAGAAGGUUUUCGGAGCGUAAAGCUCUGUUGUUAAGGAAGCGGUACUUAAACAGAAAGGGACGGCUAACUACGUGCCAGCAGCCGCGGUAAUUC
rnacentral:rRNA from 1 species